rnacentral:rRNA from 1 species
GAUGAACGCUGGCGGCGUGCCUAAUACAUGCAAGUCGAGCGAACAGACGAGGAGCUUGCUCCUCUGACGUUAGCGGCGGACGGGUGAGUAACACGUGGAUAACCUACCUAUAAGACUGGGAUAACUUCGGGAAACCGGAGCUAAUACCGGAUAAUAUAUUGAACCGCAUGCUUCAAUAGUGAAAGACGGUUUUGCUGUCACUUAUAGAUGGAUCCGCGCCGCAUUAGCUAGUUGGUAAGGUAACGGCUUACCAAGGCAACGAUGCGUAGCCGACCUGAGAGGGUGAUCGGCCACACUGGAACUGAGACACGGUCCAGACUCCUACGGGAGGCAGCAGUAGGGAAUCUUCCGCAAUGGGCGAAAGCCUGACGGAGCAACGCCGCGUGAGUGAUGAAGGUCUUCGGAUCGUAAAACUCUGUUAUUAGGGAAGAACAAAUGUGUAAGUAACUAUGCACGUCUUGACGGUACCUAAUCAGAAAGCCACGGCUAACUACGUG